GUGGGGAAUUUUGGACAAUGGGCGCAAGCCUGAUCCAGCAAUGCCGCGUGCAGGAAGAAGGCCUUCGGGUUGUAAACUGCUUUUGUACGGAACGAAAAGGCUCUGGCUAAUACUUGGAGCUCAUGACGGUACCGUAAGAAUAAGCACCGGCUAACUACGUGCCAGCAGCCGCGGUAAUACGUAGGGUGCGAGCGUUAAUCGGAUUUACUGGGCGAAAAGCGGGCGCAGGCGGUGCUGUAAGACAGGCGUGAAAUCCCCGGGCUCAACCUGGGAAUUGCGCUUGUGACUGCAGCGCUGGAGUGCGGCAGAGGGGGAUGGAAUUCCGCGUGUAGCAGUGAAAUGCGUAGAUAUGCGGAGGAACACCGAUGGCGAAGGCAAUCCCCUGGGCCUGCACUGACGCUCAUGCACGAAAGCGUGGGGAGCAAACAGGAUUAGAAACCCUUGUAGUCC
rnacentral:rRNA from 1 species